rnacentral:lncRNA from 1 species
AAAACAAACAAUUUAAAGGAUUUUAAUCUAAUCCUAUAUUUAAUCUUUGCAAACAAACAUAAAAUUGAACAAUUUGAAGGUAUAAUCAUGCAAAACAAACAUGGCCCAAGAGAAUAAGCUCGUGUGUUCUGUUAACCAACAGGCCUGAAAUAUAAGACAAAUAGUAUAAGAGAACAUGCUUUAGGGUAGGUAAAAUGAUUAACUUGUCUUGUGUCCCUACCCUGAGUAUCAAGGAGAAAAAAUGACAUAAGAGAAUCACAUAGAAAAAACUAGUAUAACAUGAAGACCAACACUAUAGCCUAAAUCUUAGACAUCUUAGUAGAUUACAAUAUGUUUUUGCAUUCUAUUUUGUUCAACACACACUUAUGUCAAUAUACAUUCCUGCAAUCAACCCUUUUAAAAAGCAGACCAAAUUUUAAAUAACACAAAAUUGAUAGUUUCUAAUUUACUACUCCAAGUGUAAGGUAGUAAUGGAUAAACAGCACCUUAUACCUACAAGUUGUUUAAUGGAAAAAAAAUUCAAGUAGAGGGACAUCUGAGGGGAAAAUUACUGCCUGGGUACUUUUGAAUCAGAAAAACUAAAAUCUAGAAACUUGUAUAUCAAGCGUUAAGUAUCAGGAAGACAAAAUAGAUACUGUCAACAUGAAACUUGUAUACAUAGAAAGACACUGUAGAAACGAGUCAAACAACUAAUUACAUGCUAAUCAUAUCUGAAUAGAAAUUCAAGUACUAGAAAGUGAUUGCCAUAUGGUUAGAUAACAGAUUAUAUGACAUGAAAGAUCAACAAAACAUGAAACUAUAGAAGGUACAGAGACUGCUCAGAGGUUCUCUAACUUUGCCAAAAGGUAACAAAAGCUCUUGAAAUCAAGCUUUAAAGAUAAAACAACCAAAUAAAAAAAACAGUAGACGAGUAAAUGAAAUAAAACUUCCACAAAAAACAACAGUACAAAACUAGGCUACUUAUUUCUCAGCUGAGUUUUGUGCUAAGAGAACGAACUCAUUUUAAGUGUUUCAACUUCGGGAUCAUUCACCAUGAGUACAACAAAAUAAGAUAUGGUGAUACGAAGAAAUAAACCUAAAGAAUUAUCUCAAAUUCCCUAGUUCAUAAUGAGUAAGGAAGCCAAAGUAAUAACACUUUUAGAAAUCAUGAACUAUGUGGAUUCACUUAAUAUCAAGGCCAGAUGUUCAUUAAAUUUUACUAUGCUAGCUCGAUGUCAUUGACACUUCCAGAACAUGGCUAACGGGUAACACAGAAAAACAAAAAAAAAAAACCAGCACAAACUAGACAUAUAUAACUUAGCUAAACAGAUACAAGACAACUAAACACUAUAUUAUAACAUCACUAGAUUCAAACAUAAAGAUGAUGUUGCAGAAACUAAUAUACAAACAAGACAUAGCAGCAAGAUUAAAUUCUGAAUUCAAGUUCUGGUAUCUAACAUUAAUAAUCUAUAUAAACACAAUUUGAGUAAAAACAAUUAUAAUUACAUUACGGCUAAAAUUAAAGGCAGGGUCGAAAAUUCCUUCGGCUCAAAUAACUCUCUGGAAAAUGCGGAAUCAGGUAUCGUUUGAUUGCGAUUUACCAGAGAGAUAUGUGAGCUGAAAGAUUCAACAAAUCAGAUUUUAAUUAAACCCUAAUCCAAUCGGUAGACCAUAAGAUUAGAUAGAGACUCGAUCAUCUACUUCACUGCUAGUAGUUAGAACUAACUGAUCUGUAAAUACUACAAUUACAAGUGAUGAAGAUGAGGAUGGGAGGCUGGAUCUUAGACUUCUGAGAUUUCAGAUUUGGAGAUCGUGUAUGUAUGUGAGUAUUCA